rnacentral:rRNA from 1 species
AGAAUCAACGCUGGCGGCGUGCCUAACACAUGCAAGUCGAACGAGAAAGUGGAGCAAUCCAUGAGUAAAGUGGCGCACGGGUGAGUAACACGUGACUAACCUACCCUCGAGUGGGGAAUAACUUCGGGAAACCGAGGCUAAUACCGCAUAAAACCUAAGGGUCAAAGGAGCAAUCCGUUUGAGGAGGGGUCGCGGCAGAUUAGUUAGUUGGCGGGGUAAUGGCCCACCAAGACGAUGAUCUGUAUCCGGCCUGAGAGGGCGCACGGACACACUGGAACUGAAACACGGUCCAGACUCCUACGGAGGCAGCAGUGGGGAAUUUUGCGCAAUGGGGGAAAACCCUGACGCAGCAACGCCGCGUGGAGGAUGAAAUCCCUUGGGAUGUAAAACUCCUUUCGAUCGGGAAGAUAAUGACGGUACCGGAAGAAGAAGCCCCGGCUAACUUCGUGCCAGCAGCCGC